ensembl:snRNA U6 U6 spliceosomal RNA
GUGGUCACUUCAGCAGCACACAUACUAAAAUUGGAACAAAAACUGAGAAGAUUAGUACGGCCCCUGUACAAGGAUGACAAGCAAAUUCGUGAAGUAUUUUAGAUUAAA